UACGAAGGGGGGCUAGCGUUGCUCGGAAUCACUGGGCGUAAAGGGUGCGUAGGCGGGUCUUUUAAGUCAGGGGUGAAAUCCUGGAGCUCAACUCCAGAACUGCCUUUGAUACUGAGGAUCUUGAGUUCGGGAGAGGUGAGUGGAACUGCGAGUGUAGAGGUGAAAUUCGUAGAUAUUCGCAAGAACACCAGUGGCGAAGGCGGACUCACUGGCC
rnacentral:rRNA from 1 species